UUUUUAAAGGCGGCGUAAAGCUGUCGCUAUGGGGGAUGGGCCCCGCGGUGCAUUAGCUAGUUGGCAAGGUAAAGGGCUUACCAAGGCGAUGAUGCAUAGCCCGAGUUGAGAGACUGAUCGGCCACAUUGGGGACUGAGACACGGGCCCAAACUCCUACGGGAGGCAGCAGUAGGGAAUCUUCCACAAUGGACGCAAGUCUGAUGGAGCAAACGCCGCGUGAGUGAAGAAGGUUUUCGGAUCGUAAAAAAGCUCUGUUGUUGGUGAAGAAGGAUAGAGGUAGUAACUGGCCCUUUAUUUGACGGUAAAUCAACCCAGAAAGUCACGGGCUAACUACGUGCCCAGCAGCCGCGGUAAAU
rnacentral:rRNA from 1 species